CAGUCGCCGCGGUAAUCCGAAGGGUGCAAGCGUUAAUCGGAAUUACUGGGCGUAAAGCGCACGUAGGCGGAUCGAUCAGUCAGGGGUGAAAUCCCAGAGCUCAACUCUGGAACUGCCUUUGAUACUGUCGAUCUGGAGUAUGGAAGAGGUGAGUGGAAUUCCGAGUGUAGAGGUGAAAUUCGUAGAUAUUCGGAGGAACACCAGUGGCGAAGGCGGCUCACUGGUCCAUUACUGACGCUGAGGUGCGAAAGCGUGGGGAGCAAACAGGAUUAGAUACCCCCGUAGUCCCUGUCUCUUAUAC
rnacentral:rRNA from 1 species